rnacentral:rRNA from 1 species
AUUGAACGCUGGCGGCAUGCUUUACACAUGCCAGUCGAACGGCAGCGCGGGCUUCGGCCUGGCGGCGAGUGGCGAACGGGUGAGUAAUACAUCGGAACGUGCCCAGUAGUGGGGGAUAGCUCGGCGAAAGCCGGAUUAAUACCGCAUACGACCUGAGGGUGAAAGCGGGGGAUCUUCGGACCUCGCGCUAUUGGAGCGGCCGAUGGCAGAUUAGCUAGUUGGAGGGGUAAAGGCCUACCAAGGCGACGAUCUGUAGCUGGUCUGAGAGGACGACCAGCCACACUGGGACUGAGACACGGCCCAGACUCCUACGGGAGGCAGCAGUGGGGAAUUUUGGACAAUGGGCGAAAGCCUGAUCCAGCAAUGCCGCGUGUGUGAUGAAGGCCUUCGGGUUGUAAAGCACUCUUGGCGGGAACGAAAAGGACUGUGCCAAUACCACGGUUCGAUGACGGUACCCGCAGAAUAAGCACCGGCUAACUACGUG